CGCACGGGUGAGUAACACGUGAGUAGCCUGCCCCCGAGAGCGGGAUAGCCCUGGGAAAACUGGGGAUUUAAUCCCGCAUAGUAAUCGAAAAGAUUAAAGCAGCAAUGCGCUUGGGGAUGGGCUCGCGGCCUAUUAGUUAGUUGGUGAGGUAACGGCUCACCAAGGCGAUGACGGGUAGCCGGUCUGAGAGGAUGUCCGGCCACACUGGAACUGAGACACGGUCCAGACACCUACGGGUGGCAGCAGUCGAGAAUCAUUCACAAUGGGGGAAACCCUGAUGGUGUGACGCCGCGUGGGGGAAUGAAGGUCUUCGGAUUGUAAACCCCUGUCAUGUGGGAGCAAAUUAAAAAGAUAGUACCACAAGAGGAAGGGACGGCUAACUCUGUGCCAGCAGCCGCGGUAAUACAGAGGUCUCAAGCGUUGUUCGGAAUCACUGGGCGUAAAGCGUGCGUAGGCUGUUUCGUUAGUCGUGUGUGAAAGGCGCGGGCUCAACCCGCGGACGGCACAUGAUACUGCGAGACUAGAGUAAUGGAGGGGGAACCGGAAUUCUCGGUGUAGCAGUGAAAUGCGUAGAUAUCGAGAGGAACACUCGUGGCGAAGGCGGGUUCCUGGACAUUAACUGACGCUGAGGCACGAAGGCCAGGGGAGCGAAAGGGAUUAGAUACCCCUGUAGUCCUGGCAGUAAACGGUGCACGCUUGGUGUGCGGGGAAUCGACCCCCUGCGUGCCGGAGCUAACGCGUUAAGCGUGCCGCCUGGGGAGUACGGUCGCAAGAUUAAAACUCAAAGAAAUUGACGGGGACCCGCACAAGCGGUGGAGUAUGUGGCUUAAUUCGAUGCGACGCGAAGAACCUUACCUGGGCUUGACAUGUAAUGAACAACAUGUGAAAGCAUGCGACUCUUCGGAGGCGUUACACAGGUGCUGCAUGGCCGUCGUCAGCUCGUGUCAUGAGAUGUUUGGUUAAGUCCAGCAACGAGCGCAACCCCUGUUGCCAGUUACCAGCACGUGAAGGUGGGGACUCUGGCGAGACUGCCCAGAUCAACUGGGAGGAAGGUGGGGACGACGUCAGGUCAGUAUGGCCCUUAUGCCCAGGGCUGCACACGUACUACAAUGCCCAGUACAGAGGGGGCCGAAGCCGCGAGGCGGAGGAAAUCCUGAAAACUGGGCCCAGUUCGGACUGUAGGCUGCAACCCGCCUACACGAAGCCGGAAUCGCUAGUAAUGGCGCAUCAGCUACGGCGCCGUGAAUACGUUCCCGGGUCUUGCACACACCGCCCGUCA
rnacentral:rRNA from 1 species